AGUGAACGCUGGCGGUAGGCCUAACACAUGCAAGUCGAACGGCAGCACAGUAAGAGCUUGCUCUUACGGGUGGCGAGUGGCGGACGGGUGAGGAAUACAUCGGAAUCUACUUUUUCGUGGGGGAUAACGUAGGGAAACUUACGCUAAUACCGCAUACGACCUCCGGGUGAAAGCAGGGGAUCUUCUGACCUUGCGCGAUUGAAUGAGCCGAUUUCGGAUUAGCUAGUUGGCGGGGUAAAGGCCCACCAAGGCGACGAUCCGUAGCUGGUCCGAGAGGAUGAUCCGCCACACUGGAAGUGAGAAACGGUCCAGACUCCUACGGGGGGCAGCAGUCGGGAAUAUUAGACGAUGGGGGCAAGCCUGAUCCAGCCAUACCGCGUAGGUGAAGAAGGACUCCGGGUUGUAAAGCCAUUUUGUUGGGAGAGAAAAGCAGCAGUUUAAUACCCCGCUGUUCUGACGGUACCCAAAGAAGAAGCCCCGGCUAACUUCGUG
rnacentral:rRNA from 1 species